CUCCCCGAAAGCUAUUUAGGUAGCGCCUCGUGAAUUCAUCUCCGGGGGUAGAGCACUGUUUCGGCAAGGGGGUCAUCCCGACUUACCAACCCGAUGCAAACUGCGAAUACCGGAGAAUGUUAUCACGGGAGACACACGGCGGGUGCUAACGUCCGUCGUGAAGAGGGAAACAACCCAGACCGCCAGCUAAGGUCCCAAAGUCAUGGUUAAGUGGGAAACGAUGUGGGAAGGCCCAGACAGCCAGGAUGUUGGCUUAGAAGCAGCCAUCAUUUAAAGAAAGCGUAAUAGCUCACUGGUCGAGUCGGCCUGCGCGGAAGAUGUAACGGGGCUAAACCAUGCACCGAAGCUGCGGC
rnacentral:rRNA from 1 species